rnacentral:tRNA from 1 species
GGGGAUGUCGGCUAGUCUGGUUUAGGCUUCAAGCCUUGGGAGUUUGCGACCCAGGUUCAAAUCCUGGCAUCCCCA